UCGUUUGUUUACCAUUCAUUUUUGCGUUUGGGAUUUUAGAACUACUUCAUAUAAGGUCUGUGUUUCGUGUAGGUUUACCCAGGCGUGACGUUUUGAUGGCCAUGUAAUUCUCUCUCGGACAAGGUACAGGAAACUCAUGGCCUACUUCGAUUGACUGUUCAGUCGUCGAGAGUGUUGGGCACACCACUAUCGGGAGGAGCUGCCAACCCAAGGGAACGACACAAAAAACUUUGUGGAGGCAGCAAUGCGGGUCCUUAAAGAUAAAAUCUUCCAGAUUACGAAAACGUUGAAUCGCCCUGCCUUAUUUGACCUGCUGACAUGCCACCUGGAGGCCUACUAUGAGGCGGGGUAAUUGAAGUUGCUCUUGGCCGCUGGAAAACGUUCCCCCUCUCACAUUUUCUGGCCCAGGAGAGCAACGUCAACCCAUCUGACAUCGAGCAGGUGAGGGAGAAGAAGUACAAGGUGAAGGGCACCACACCAGGCCAGACCUAUACUGUGGACAUGGA